AUUGAACGCUGGCGGCAUGCUUUACACUUGCAAGUCGAACGGUAACAGGCCGCAAGGUGCUGACGAGUGGCGAACGGGUGAGUAAUACAUCGGAACGUGCCCGAUCGUGGGGGAUAACGAAGCGAAAGCUUUGCUAAUACCGCAUAAGAUCUACGGAUGAAAGCAGGGGACCGCAAGGCCUUGCGCGAACGGAGCGGCCGAUGGCAGAUUAGGUAGUUGGUGGGAUAAAAGCUUACCAAGCCGACGAUCUGUAGCUGGUCUGAGAGGACGACCAGCCACACUGGGACUGAGACACGGCCCAGACUCCUACGGGAGGCAGCAGUGGGGAAUUUUGGACAAUGGGCGAAAGCCUGAUCCAGCCAUGCCGCGUGCAGGAUGAAGGCCUUCGGGUUGUAAACUGCUUUUGUACGGAACGAAAAGACUCUUUCUAAUAAAGAGGGUCCAUGACGGUACCGUAAGAAUAAGCACCGGCUAACUACGUGCCAGCCGCCGCGGUAACAC
rnacentral:rRNA from 1 species